AUGCUUCUGUUAGUUGACUCUAGGAGUUCCUCUUCAUUUGUGGAUACUCAAGUUGCGGCUAAGUUACAAGGCCAAAUUGCACUUCCAAAACCAUGCAGAGUUAAAGUGGCUAAUGGGGCAAUUAUUCAGUGCAAUCAGUACAUUCCUCGUUGUGCUUGGUUUACACAGGGCCAUGAAUUUUGUACUGAUUUUAAGAUCAUUUCCCUGGGGGCUUAUGAUGCCAUCCUUGGCAUGGACUGGCUCAGAAAACACAGCCCAAUGAAGGUUUAUUGGGAAGCCCAACACCUGUCUGUAACAACACCCACAGGAGCUGUAGAGAUCCAGGGAAUUUCUGCUGUGCAACAACAAUGUUCAGUCAUCUCUGCUUCUGAACUUCUGAAAACUUGCAAACAAGGUUCAGUUGCCUAUGUGGUUCACUUGGCUACCUGA
rnacentral:rRNA from 1 species